rnacentral:rRNA from 1 species
GUGGGGAAUUUUGGACAAUGGGCGAAAGCCUGAUCCAGCCAUGCCGCGUGCAGGAUGAAGGCCUUCGGGUUGUAAACUGCUUUUGUACGGAACGAAAAGACUCCUUCUAAUAAAGGGUGUCCAUGACGGUACCGUAAGAAUAAGCACCGGCUAACUACGUGCCAGCAGCCGCGGUAAUACGUAGGGUGCAAGCGUUAAUCGGAAUUACUGGGCGUAAAGCGUGCGCAGGCGGUUAUAUAAGACAGAUGUGAAAUCCCCGGGCUCAACCUGGGAACUGCAUUUGUGACUGUAUAGCUAGAGUACGGUAGAGGGGGAUGGAAUUCCGCGUGUAGCAGUGAAAUGCGUAGAUAUGCGGAGGAACACCGAUGGCGAAGGCAAUCCCCUGGACCUGUACUGACGCUCAUGCACGAAAGCGUGGGGAGCAAACAGGAUUAGAAACCCUGGUAGUCC